UACAGCGGGGGCAAGCGUUGUUCGGAAUUACUGGGCGUAAAGGGCGCGUAGGUGGCCUUCUAAGUUGAACGUGAAAUCCCUGGGCUCAACCCAGGAACUGCGUCCAAGACUGGGAGGCUUGAAUCCGGGAGAGGGACGCGGAAUUCCAGGUGUAGCGGUGAAAUGCGUAGAUAUCUGGAGGAAUACCGGUGGCGAAGGCGGCAUCCUGGACCGGCAUUGACGCUGAGUGAGCGAAAGCCAGGGGAGCAAACGGG
rnacentral:rRNA from 1 species